AGCAGCCGCGGUAAUUCCAGCUCCAAUAGCGUAUAUUAAAGUUGUUGCAGUUAAAAAGCUCGUAGUUGAAUUUCGGGGUCUAUCCGUUGGUCGGGCUUUUGGGUCCGUACUGGCGUUAUGGAUUCCUACCUUCUGAAUAACCGGUAUGCCAUUAAUUUGGUGUGCUGGGGAAGCAGGACUGUUACCUUGAAAAAGUUAGAGUGCUUAAAGCAGGCUAUCGCCUGAAUACAUUAGCAUGGAAUAAUGAAAUAGGACGGCAUGGUUCUAUUUUGUUGGUUUCUAGGAUCACCGUAAUGAUUAAUAGGGAUAGUUGGGGGCAUUAGUAUUCAAUUGUCAGAGGUGAAAUUCUUGGAUUUAUUGAAGACUAACUUCUGCGAAAGCAUUUGCCAAGGAUGUUUUCAUUAAUCAAGAACGAAAGUUAGGGGAUCGAAGACGAUCAGAUACCGUCGUAGUCUUAACCAUAAACUAUGCCGACUAGGGAUCGGACGAUGUUAAU
rnacentral:rRNA from 1 species